GACAUGGUGGUGGUAGGGGAAGCGAAAGCGGACCGACCUUCGGGAGCCAUCACAGGUGCUGCAUGGCUGUCGUCAGCUCGUGUCGUGAGAUGUUCGGUUAAGUCCGGUAACGAGCGCAACCCUCGCCGUUAGUUACAAGUGUCUAGCGGGACUGCCCGUAGAAAGCGGGAGGAAGGUGGGGAUGACGUCAAGUCAGCAUGGCCUUAAUGUCCAGGGCUACACACACGCUACAAUGGCCGGUCCAAUGGGUCGCCAACCCGCGAGGGGGAGCCAAUCCAAGAAAGCCGGUCGUAGUUCGGAUUGCAGGCUGCAACCCGCCUGCAUGAAGUCGGAGUUGCUAGUAAACGCCGGUCAGCCAUACGGCGUUGAAUACGUUCCCGGGCCUUGUACACACCGCCCGUCACGUCAUGGGAGCUGGUCACGCCUGAAGUCGGUGGGCUAACCGCAAGGGGGCAGCCGCCUAGGGCAGGGCUGGUGACUGGGACG
rnacentral:rRNA from 1 species